UGCCACGUCAUCAGCACCAAAAGCUAGUCACACAGAACAGCUUAGCUAGCAACGUCAACCCAGCAUUCAGAGCGCGGAGCUAUUUCGGAAAAGAAACAAGUAAGGUCAGAUGUGUCGUCCUCCUACACCCAACUUCCUGUCCUAGUCCCAGGAAGUUGUUAUGUUAUGCCAUUGGUCUUUGACGCUACUGAGUACUACGCAGAGGCUUGGAGGUACAGCUACAAGAGUACUGAGUUGAUGAGUACUGAAUCUACA